GAUGAAGAACGCAGCGAAAUGCGAUAAGUAAUGUGAAUUGCAGAAUUCAGUGAAUCAUCGAAUCUUUGAACGCACAUUGCGCCCCCCAGUAUUCUGGCGGGCAUGCCUGUUCGAGCGUCAUUUCAACCAUCAAGCCCUGCUUGUGUUGGGGUCCUGCGGCUGCCCGCAGGCCCUGAAAACCAGUGGCGGGCUCGCUAGUCACACCGAGCGCAGUAGCACAUCUCGCUCAGGGCGUGCGGCGGGCUCCAGCCGUUAAAGCACCCACCUUUCGCAAGGUUGACCUCGGAUCAGGUAGGAAUACCCGCUGAACUUAAGCAUAUCAAUAAGAGGA
rnacentral:misc_RNA from 1 species